rnacentral:rRNA from 1 species
AACGAACGCUGGCGGCAGGCUUAACACAUGCAAGUCGAACGCCCCGCACGUGGAGUGGCGGACGGGUGAGUAACGCGUGGGAAUCUACCCAUCCCUGCGAAAUAACGCAUGGAAACGUAUACUAAUACCGAAUACGCCCUACUGGGGAAAGGUUGAUCGGGGAUGGUUGAGCCCGUGUUAGAUUAGCUAGUUGGUGGGGUAAAGGCAUACCAAGGCGACGAUCCAUAGCUGGUGUGAGAUGAUGAUCAGCCACAAUGGGACUGAGACACGGCCCCAACUCGUACGGGAGGCAGCAGUGGGGAAUAUUGGAGAAUGGGGGCAAGUCUGAUCCAGCCACGUGGCGGGAGUGAUGAAUGGCGUAGGGUUGUAAAGCCCUUUCACCGGAGAAGAGAAUGACGGUAUCCGGAGAAGAAGCCCCGGCUAACUUCGUG